GCAGUGGUGGUCCAGUGACAGAACUCUCGCCUCCCAUGCGGGUGACCCAGGUUCAGUUUUCGGCCAAUGCA
rnacentral:tRNA from 1 species